AGGUGCCAAGCGUUAGGCGGAAUCACUGGGCUUAAAGCGUGUGUAGGCGGGCGGGCAAGUACCUUGUGAAAUCCCACGGCUCAACCGUGGAACGGCUGGGUAUACUGCCUGUCUUGAGCCAGCUAGGGGCGACCGGAACAGACGGUGGAGCGGUGAAAUGCGUAGAUAUCGUCUGGAACGCCAAAGGUGAAAACAGGUCGCUGGGGCUGAGCUGACGCUGAGACACGAAAGCCAGGGGAGCGAACGGG
rnacentral:rRNA from 1 species